GAGGUCGUGACGAUAGUUACGCGGAGGAGUGUGGUAGUCACAAGUUGUGGGCCACAAUAGUGUCAUGUCGGCUGCUGAUAAUUUAGCUGUAAUUAAAAUAUAAGAACUGUGGCCUGAUAUUCACCGAGACGCUGUACUACCGGCAUAACCUAAAGAAUCAGCGAGAUGGAAAUUGUGGAUGCUGGUCAUGAUUUAUGAAGUGUGCGGUAAUUAAUAAUGAACACUGAAAAUGUUGAAUGUAGUGAACAGUGAAAGUGAACGGUGAUAAAUAAAGAGUGAUAGAUUCGAAGAGUGAAUUUGUGAACGUUAUAGGCCUAUUAUAUUUAUAUGCGUAUUAUAAUAAUGUGUGUUCAUUUUUUUUUGUGUAUCAUACUUCGUAUAAUAAAUAAUAUUAGCUGUA